rnacentral:rRNA from 1 species
AAUCAACGCUGGCGGCGUGCCUAACACAUGCAAGUCGAACGCGAAAGUCCCGAAAGGGAUAAGUAGAGUGGCAAACGGGUGAGUAACACGUGGGUGACCUGCCUUCGAGUGGGGGAUAACGUCCCGAAAGGGACGCUAAUACCGCAUAACAUCCCGCCUUUUAAGAGGUGGACAUCAAAGCCUGGGACCGCAAGGCCAGGCGCUUGAAGAGGGGCCCGCGCCUGAUUAGCUAGUUGGUGGGGUAANGGCUCACCAAGGCUUCGAUCAGUAUCCGGCCUGAGAGGGCGGUCGGUCACACUGACACUGACAUACGGGUCAGACUCCUACGGGAGGCAGCAGUCGGGAAUUUUGGGCAAUGGGCGAAAGCCUGACCCAGCAACGCCGCGUGAAGGAU